CGUGUAGGCCGUUUGGCAAGUCCCGUGUGAAAGCCUCCGGCUCAACUGGAGGACGUCGCGGGAUACUACCGGACUCGAGGACAGGAGAGGGAAGUGGAAUUCCCGGUGUAGCGGUGAAAUGCGUAGAUAUCGGGAGGAACGCCAGUGGCGAAGGCGGCUUCCUGGCCUGUUCCUGACGCUGAGACGCGAAAGCGUGGGGGAGCGAACGGGAUUAGACUACCCCGGUAGUCCCAGACCGUAAACGAUGGUCACUAGGUGGUUGGGGGUACCCCCUCAGUGCCGAAGCUAACGCAUUAAGUGACCCGCCUGGGGAGUACGGCCGCAAGGUUGAA
rnacentral:rRNA from 1 species